AACGAACGCUGGCGGCAUGCCUAACACAUGCCAGUCGAACGAGACCUUCGGGUCUAGUGGCGCACGGGUGCGUAACGCGUGGGAACCUGCCCUUAGGUUCGGAAUAAUUCCCCGAAAGGGGUGCUAAUACCGGAUAAUGUCCGCUGACCAAAGAUUUAUCGCCUUUGGAUGGGCCCGCGUUGGAUUAGCUAGUUGGUAGGGUAAAAGCCUACCAAGGCGACGAUACAUAGCUGGUCUGAGAGGAUGAUCAGCCACACUGGGACUGGGACACGGCCCAGACUCCUACGGGAGGCAGCAGUGGGGAAUAUUGGACAAUGGGCGAAAGCCUGAUCCAGCAAUGCCGCGUGAGUGAUGAAGGCCUUAGGGUUGUAAAGCUCUUUUACCCGGGAUGAUAAUGACAGUACCGGGAGAAUAAGCUCCGGCUAACUCCGUG
rnacentral:rRNA from 1 species